UACGAGGGGGGCAAGCGUUGUUCGGAAUUAUUGGGCGUAAAGGGUGCGUAGGCGGUGCGGUAAGUCUGUUGUGAAAUCUCCGGGCUCAACUCGGAGUCUGCAUCAGAAACUGCCGUGCUGGAGUGUGGGAGAGGUGAGCGGAAUUCCCGGUGUAGCGGUGAAAUGCGUAGAGAUCGGGAGGAACACCUGCGGCGAAAGCGGCUCACUGGACCAUAACUGACGCUGAUGCACGAAAGCUAGGGGAGCAAACAGG
rnacentral:rRNA from 1 species